rnacentral:rRNA from 1 species
AACGUAGGACGCAAGCGUUAUCCGGAGUUACUGGGCGUAAAGCGCGGGCAGGCGGCUCGAAACGUCUGAUGUGAAAGCACCCGGCUCAACCGGGUGAGGCCAUUGGAAACGGUCGAGCUGGAGGGCAGUAGAGGUAGGCGGAAUUCCGGGUGGAGGUGGUGAAAUGCGUAGAGAUCCGGAGGAACACAGAGGCGAAGGGCGGCCUACCUGGGCGUGACACCUGACGCUGAGGCGCGAAAGCGUGGGGAGGCAA